UUGACAUUGUACAUUAGAUUAUCCUAUUAAGAUAGGACAACACUGCUUUGCCGGGUUUUUUUUCUGAACUCUCGUCUGUUUACUAAUUAAACAUGUAGACUUCCACUUCAAUUUACACUACUACUUCAAUUUACAUAUAGCUUUUUUCGUUGUUUACUCCCAAAUUAUUGGCACUCACAUAUGCAGGUGCUUCAUAAAAAGCCUCUGAUAAUAUCCUGAUUGAAUAGGAUGGUCAGUGUUCUUAACACAUUUUUCUUUUUCAUGUAGUUAAUAAUAGUUGUGUAUCAACUGUCAAAUCACCUUCACCCCCUCCACUCCCAUAACUAAAAUUAAGAGCUUUGCGCCCACGUUCUAACAUUUCUUAGAAUUAACAUGGCUUCUACUCUAAACAGAGAGAUCAACUCACACAUGCAGUUUCUCACCUGUAGAAACUUUUCUCAAGUUGUCAGAUAAAGAGCACCGUGGAUGGAUAUAUUAUCAUGUUUGUAUGUAUCUAUACUUCAUAUGGGCACAUGAAAUCUACACGGCAAGAUUGAACUUCUGCAGUGCAUGUUUACUCGAUGUGAAAAUCUUCUAUGUGCGGAAUUUGAAGGCAGUUGCCACAAGGAUAAGCUAGAGAAGCAGAGAAAACAAGGAGCCAUUGUUCCAUUAUCAACAUGUAGAAACUAAAAAUCAUAUAGAUAUGUUUCACCUAGUUUGCGCAUGUAAUUGUUAAUAGGAGAUGUGUACAAUUGAGUUUGUAAACUACUACUACUCUGAGUAAUACAAUGUUAUUAUCUCGUGCC